rnacentral:misc_RNA from 1 species
GUGGGAUUGGCGGCAGUUCACAGUAUCUAGCAAGGAAGUUUGGGGCUGAAUGUAAAGGCAUCACCUUGAGCCCUGUCCAAGCUCAAAGGGCACAGGCUCUUGCUGCUGCUGAGGGGUUAGCAGAUCAGGUUUCCUUUCAAGUUGCAGAUGCUUUGGAUCAACCUUUUCCUGAUGGACAUUUCGACCUUGUUUGGUCCAUGGAAAGCGGUGAGCACAUGCCCGACAAAACAAAGUUUGUAGGAGAAUUGGCACGGGUUGCAGCCCCUGGUGCGACCAUCAUAAUCGUGACUUGGUGCCACAGGGACCUAUUGCCCUCAGAAGAUUCACUGCGACCAGAUGAAAUUAGCCUCUUAAACAAAAUAUGCGAUGCCUAUUACCUACCAAAGUGGUGCUCUGCUGUAGAUUAUGUCAAGAUCGCUGAAUCAUACUCCCUUGAGAAAAUCAGGACUGCGGAUUGGUCGGAGAAUGUGGCUCCAUUCUGGCCUGCGGUCAUCCGG